GACGAACGCUGGCGGCGUGCUUAACACAUGCAAGUCGAACGGAAAGGCCCUGCUUUUGUGGGGUGCUCGAGUGGCGAACGGGUGAGUAACACGUGAGUAACCUGCCCUUGACUUUGGGAUAACUUCAGGAAACUGGGGCUAAUACCGGAUAGGAGCUCCUGCUGCAUGGUGGGGGUUGGAAAGUUUCGGCGGUUGGGGAUGGACUCGCGGCUUAUCAGCUUGUUGGUGGGGUAGUGGCUUACCAAGGCUUUGACGGGUAGCCGGCCUGAGAGGGUGACCGGCCACAUUGGGACGGGGAUACGGCCCAGACUCCUACGGGAGGCAGCAGUGGGGAAUAUUGCACAAUGGGCGGAAGCCUGAUGCAGCAACGCCGCGUGCGGGAUGACGGCCUUCGGGUUGUAAACCGCUUUCGCCUGUGACGAAGCGUGAGUGACGGUAAUGGGUAAAGAAGAACCGGCUAACUACGU
rnacentral:rRNA from 1 species